GCUUAUGGCCAUACCAGCCUGGCUAUGCCCGAUCUUGUCUGAUCUUGGAAGCUAAGCAGGUUUGGGCCGGUUAGUACAUGGAUGGGAGACUGCCUGGGAAUACCAGGUGCUUUAAAUU
rnacentral:rRNA from 1 species